GAUGAACGCUGGCGGCGUGCCUAAUACAUGCAAGUCGAGCGAACAGACGAGGAGCUUGCUCCUCUGACGUUAGCGGCGGACGGGUGAGUAACACGUGGAUAACCUACCUAUAAGACUGGGAUAACUUCGGGAAACCGGAGCUAAUACCGGAUAAUAUUUUGAAUCGCAUGGUUCAAAAGUGAAAGACGGUCUUGCUGUCCCUUAUAGAUGGAUCCGCGCCGAAUUAGCUAGUUGGUAAGGUAACGGCUUACCAAGGCAACGAUGCGUAGCCGACCUGAGAGGGUGAUCGGCCACACUGGAACUGAGACACGGUCCAGACUCCUACGGGAGGCAGCAGUAGGGAAUCUUCCGCAAUGGGCGAAAGCCUGACGGAGCAACGCCGCGUGAGUGAAGAAGGUCUUCGGAUCGUAAAACUCUGUUAUUAGGGAAGAACAAAUGUGUAAGUAACUAUGCACGUCUUGACGGUACCUAAUCAGAAAGCCACGGCUAACUACGUG
rnacentral:rRNA from 1 species